GAUGAACGCUGGCGGCGUGCCUAAUACAUGCAAGUCGAGCGAAUGGAUUAAGAGCUUGCUCUUAUGAAGUUAGCGGCGGACGGGUGAGUAACACGUGGGUAACCUGCCCAUAAGACUGGGAUAACUCCGGGAAACCGGGGCUAAUACCGGAUAACAUUUUGAACCGCAUGGAUCGAAAUUGAAAGGCGGCUGCGGCUGUCACUUAUGGAUGCACCCGCGUCGCAUUAGCUAGUUGGUGAGGUAACGGCUCACCAAGGCAACGAUGCGUAGCCGACCUGUGAGGGUGAUCGGCCACACUGGGACUGAGACACGGCCCAGACUCCUACGGGAGGCAGCAGUAGGGAAUCUUCCGCAAUGGACGAAAGUCUGACGGAGCAACGCCGCGUGAGUGAUGAAGGCUUUCGGGUCGUAAAACUCUGUUGUUAGGGAAGAACAAGUGCUAGUUGAAUAAGCUGGCACCUUGACGGUACCUAACCAGAAAGCCACGGCUAACUACGUGCCAGCCGCCGCUGUAA
rnacentral:rRNA from 1 species